AGGCCAACACUGACUCUGUUUAAGAGCAACAACUUUUCUCUGCCUAUGAGACAUGCCAUAACCUGCAAACAGUCAACAGAUCAACUAUGCUGACUUGCCUGUUACAUCUCAUAGCCUAAAUACUGUAUCAGAGAUGCACACAAAAUGUCACAACUGAACUUGUCAAGCGGUACAAAGUGGAGACAAGUCUCUGACAUCGUAAAUGCAUGCCCAGAUUGAGCAAUGUUGCAGGGCAACCAC